GUUGUGUUUGAACUUGAGUUUGUGGUGUUUGUUGAACUUGAGUUUGUGUCGUGUUUUAACUUGAGUUUGUGUGAUUGUUGAACUUGAGUUAUUUUUCAUGUUUGAACUUGAGUUUGUGGCGUUUGUUGAACUUGAGUUUGUGUGGUUGUUGAACUUGAGGUUGUUGCAAUUGUUAAACUUGAAAUUUGGUUGUUGGUAUAACUAUGGUUUGUGUCGUGUUUGAACUUGAGUUUGUUUUGUGUUUGAACUUGAGUUUGUGGUUUUUGUUGAACUUGAGUUUGUGGUGUUUUUGAACUUGAGUUUGUGUGUUUUUUGAACUUGAGUUUGUGUUGUGUUUUAACUUGUAUGUGUGGUCUUUGUUGAAAUUGAGUUUGUGUCGUGUUGAACUUGAGUUUGUGGUGUUUUUGAACUUAAGUUGGUGGUGCUUUUGAACUUGAGUUUCGUGUUUGAAUUUGAGUUUGUUGUUUUUGUUGAACUUGAGUUUGUGUCAUGUUUGAACUUGAGUUUGUGGUGUUCUUGAACUUGAUUUUGUGGUUUUUUUGAAGCUGAGGAUGUGGAAUUUUUUCAAAUUGAGGUUGUGGAAAUUGUUAAACUUGAGUUUGUGAGUGUUUUUAACUCUAGCUUUUUCCAUAUUUGAACUUGAUUUUGUGUGAUUGUUGAACUUGAGUUUGAGUUGUGUUUGAACUUGAGUUUGUGGUGUUUGUUGAACUUGAGUUUGUUUUGUUUUUACAAUUGAGUUUGUGGGUUUUUUUAACUUGAGUUUGUGUGGUUGUUGAACUUGAGUUUGUGUUGUGUUUGAACUUGGGUUUGUGGUGUUUGUUGAACUUGAGUUUGUGUCAUGUUUGCACUUGAGUUUGUGGUGUUUUUGAACUUGAUUUUGUAUGUUUGUUGAACUUGAGUUUGUGGUGAUUUUGAAUUUGAGUAGGUGUCAUAUUUGCACUUGAGUUUGUGGUGUUUUUGAACUUGAUUUUGUAUGUUUGUUGAACUUGAGUUUGUGGUGAUUUUGAAUUUGAGUAGGUGUUAUGUUUGAACUUGAGUUUGUGGUGUUUUUGAACUUGAGUUUGUGAUUUUUUUGAAGUUGAGGAUGUGGAAUUUUUAUCAAAUUGAGGUUGUGAAAAUUGUUAAACUUGAGUUUGUGAGUGUUUUUAACUCUAGCUUUUUCUAUAUUUGAACUUGAUUUUGUGUGAUUGUUGAACUUGAUUUUGAGUUGUGUUUGAACUUGAGUUUGUGGUGUUUGUUAAGAUUGAGUUUGUUUUGUUUUUACAAUUGAGUUUGUGUUUUUUUUAACUUGAGUUUGUGUGGUUGUUGAACUUGAGUUUGUGUUGUGUUUGAACUUGAGUUUGUGGUGUUUGUUGAACUUGAGUUUGUGUCAUGUUUGCACUUGAGUUUGUGGUGUUUUUGAACUUGAGUUUUUGGUGUUUUUGAACUUGAGUAUGUGGUGAUUUUGAAUUUGAGUAGGUGUCAUGUUUGAACUUGAGUUUGUGGUGUUUUUGAACUUGAGUUUGUGAUUUUUUUUAGAAGUUGAGGGUGUGGAAUUUUUUGAAUUUGAGGUUGUGGCAAUCGUUAAACUUGAGUUUCUGUUUUAGUUUAACUUGAGUUCAUUUUGUUUGAACUUGAGUUCUUUUGUUUGUUAAACCUAAGUAUGUGUUGUUUUUGAACAUGAGUUUGUUUCAUGUUUGAACUUUAGUUUGUGGCGUUUGUUGAACUUGAGUUUGUGUGAUUGUUGAAAUUGAGGUUGUGGCAAUUGUUAAACUUGAGAUUUGGUUGUUGUUUGAACUUGAGUUUGUGUCGUGAAAUUAAACUUGAGUUUGUUUCGGAUUUGAACUUGAGUUUGUGGUCUUGAACUUAAGUU
rnacentral:lncRNA from 1 species